CAUGUACAAAUUGGGCAAUUGGAUAUGAAGAACCUGCCAGGCAAGCAUUUGGUGAAAAUCAUCCAGAGGCAGUGGCAUUAGUGGAGAACUGCAAUGUGAUUCUAAAGUUGUGGUCAGGGAGGCAAAGCGAAGGGCAACCUCCGGAGUGUCGCGGAAGAGUGGUGUGAGUAGAGGGUGUCGCGGAAGAGUGUCACGCAAAUAAGUGGGUGGGGGAAGGAAGCAGAGCAGGCAAUGCCCCUAUUUAUAUUUGGCGUUGGCAUGUCCAGAUCGAUGGGCCAAAGCUCAUUUAGGAAGUGAUGAAUCGAACAAGGAGGAAGGGUAACACGAUGACGUGUUUGGUCUUCAGCCAUUUCUUUACUAAGAAACCCAGGUUAGGAUUGUCUAAAUGUCCAGAAGCUCAAUCUUACUACUAAAUGUAGUUAUUCGCUUCAUUAGUGGAAUGGCUAUCUUCUAUCGUCAGAUCUAUGAUACAAGACUAAGUUUUUCUAUGAUUUGUAUUAGUGUGAUCCAUACAUUAAAUGGUGAAGGAUUACUACUACUAUAUCAGUUUAGGUCUAAUCUAGAGUUUAGACUUCCAUUUUUUGCGGGGAUCUAGAGUUUAGGCUUGACUAAUCUUUAUAGCAGUUUGUUCAUGUGAAAAUUAUGACUGAUACAAACUAGAUGUUAUUAUAUAAUAUCGGGACAAGAUACUAACCUACCAUUAUGCAAAAAAGAAAAACAUAAUACUGAUCUGCCGCUAACAAACGAUGUCACAACUUAGACAAUCUCUGAGGUCGAAUUUCUGUUUUCCAACAAUGGGUUUUUCAUUUCUAUCCUACUACUUAUAGCUGGAUUAAUGCAUUUAUCUCUCUCUAUCUCCGUUUCUGUUGUUACUUACUGCCCUUUUAAGUUUUCUAUUCCCAGUUGGUUUCAUUUUUUAUUUGCUAACAUCCACAAAAAUGAAUAUCCACUUUAUUUUUUUAUUCCCGGAGUGCCGAAGGUGGAGCGGCGACGAGAGCUGGCCAUUUGUUAACAGUCGCAGACACACGUGUACCCUGCUCGCUGGCCGUUGCAAACUGAACGGCUAUAUGCAUUAAAUGGCCAUACACAAAGCUAGCUUGCACAG